ensembl:lncRNA
CACAAAGACCAAAGCACCAUUCCAUGCGGAGAACCUAGGGACCUUCUUCCCUCUCAGACACCUUCAUAGCAGGUCUCGACAGGAUCAGCGGGAGCAGCGGUGCAGACCCCGACGGGAGGAGGACAGCGAUAGUGCCGGGCAGGCCUCAGCCCCGAGCGGCCCGCGGGGACCUCGCCCCUCCUCACGGUGUCACCGAGCCGUGUCAGGGUUCAAGGCAUCGGAAGCUCAGCUAAAUACCUCCUUCCCCAAAUCCUCCCUCUGCAUUUCGCGCCCCUUGGAUGCAACACUUGGAUGGGAAACCGUACCCAGUGCUGCUGGGGGCACGGCCUGGGGUGCGCAUCGCUAUUCCUGCUGCAAAACCAGAGCAGCGCUCGACCCCAAAGCCUCCAGCCAAGGUGCAGAGGGGUGACCGGGAGCAGCGGCUCUGGGGACAGGGGAUGGGGUGGGGGCACAGAGCCGGCGGGGGCUGCUCGCCCUCCCCAGGCCUGCGGGAAGCGGGGAUUGCAUCUGCCUUUAAUUACUCCCUCUCUGCAUAUCAGAUGCUCGUGCACCUUCUGCACAUGAAUGCUGAUUAAUUGCAGGGUUAGGCUCUGAGGCAGGCCGGACCACAUUAUUUCUGAUGUUUGCUCUUUUCACGAGGAGAAUAAAUG